CCUACGGGAGGCAGCAGUGGGGAAUAUUGGACAAUGGGGGGAACCCUGAUCCAGCCAUGCCGCGUGUGUGAAGAAGACCCUCGGGUUGUAAAGCACUUUCAGUGAGGAAGAACGCCUGGUGGUUAAUACCCAUCAGGAAAGACAUCACUCACAGAAGAAGCACCGGCUAACUCCGUGCCAGCAGCCGCGGUAAUACGGAGGGUGCGAGCGUUAAUCGGAAUUACUGGGCGUAAAGCGCGCGUAGGUGGCUUGAUAAGCCGGUUGUGAAAGCCCCGGGCUCAACCUGGGAACGGCAUCCGGAACUGUCAAGCUAGAGUGCAGGAGAGGAAGGUAGAAUUCCCGGUGUAGCGGUGAAAUGCGUAGAGAUCGGGAGGAAUACCAGUGGCGAAGGCGGCCUUCUGGACUGACACUGACACUGAGGUGCGAAAGCGUGGGUAGCAAACAGGAUUAGAUACCCUUGUAGUC
rnacentral:rRNA from 1 species